UGAGGAAUAUUGGUCAAUGGGCGAGAGCCUGAACCAGCCAAGUAGCGUGAAGGAUGACUGCCCUAUGGGUUGUAAACUUCUUUUAUAAAGGAAUAAAGUCGGGUAUGGAUACCCGUUUGCAUGUACUUUAUGAAUAAGGAUCGGCUAACUCCGUGCCAGCAGCCGCGGUAAUACGGAGGAUCCGAGCGUUAUCCGGAUUUAUUGGGUUUAAAGGGAGCGUAGAUGGAUGUUUAAGUCAGUUGUGAAAGUUUGCGGCUCAACCGUAAAAUUGCAGUUGAUACUGGAUAUCUUGAGUGCAGUUGAGGCAGGCGGAAUUCGUGGUGUAGCGGUGAAAUGCUUAGAUAUCACGAAGAACUCCGAUUGCGAAGGCAGCCUGCUAAGCUGCAACUGACAUUGAGGCUCGAAAGUGUGGGUAUCAAACAGGAUUAGAUACCCUGGUAGUCCACACGGUAAACGAUGAAUACUCGCUGUUUGCGAUAUACUGCAAGCGGCCAAGCGAAAGCGUUAAGUAUUCCACCUGGGGAGUACGCCGGCAACGGUGAAACUCAAAGGAAUUGACGGGGGCCCGCACAAGCGGAGGAACAUGUGGUUUAAUUCGAUGAUACGCGAGGAACCUUACCCGGGCUUAAAUUGCAGAUGAAUUACGGUGAAAGCCGUAAGCCGCAAGGCAUCUGUGAAGGUGCUGCAUGGUUGUCGUCAGCUCGUGCCGUGAGGUGUCGGCUUAAGUGCCGUAACGAGCGCAACCCUUGUUGUCAGUUACUAACAGGUUUUGCUGAGGACUCUGACAAGACUGCCAUCGUAAGAUGUGAGGAAGGUGGGGAUGACGUCAAAUCAGCACGGCCCUUACGUCCGGGGCUACACACGUGUUACAAUGGGGGGUACAGAGGGCCGCUACCACGCGAGUGGAUGCCAAUCCCCAAAACCUCUCUCAGUUCGGACUGGAGUCUGCAACCCGACUCCACGAAGCUGGAUUCGCUAGUAAUCGCGCAUCAGCCACGGCGCGGUGAAUACGUUCCC
rnacentral:rRNA from 1 species